UAUGAGGGCAAUCUGGCUGCAAGAGCUGUCACUCCAUUGAUCGCCAGGGUUGAUUUGGCUGAUCUGGCUGGCUAGGCAGCUGCACACUCAGUUGAAGAGGAAGACCAUCCCCGAUAAAGGAGGACUGGCCUUUAGUCAAGGGUAUACAAGUAGCUGCGCUCCCCUGCUAGAACAAGCUCUCAAAAGAGCACUACAGAGGUGGGCAGAGCUGACCAACAGUUAACUAAAUAUUCUUGCAAACCUACUGUGUCCUUUUGCCUCAA
rnacentral:snRNA from 1 species